rnacentral:lncRNA from 1 species
GGCAUCCCGACCAAGCAGAGCCGGAUUUUCUGGGUCAUUCAGCAUGUCGUGUAGAGCUUGAUCAAAUCUUCCCCAAUGUAUUCCGUCAUCAAGUGGCAUCUGUUCACCUUCUUGUCAACUUGCUGAACUAUUAUUAGGGUCUUCUAUUGGUUCUAGAAUCCCAAAUAUUAAAAGUCUACGCACUGGCAUGUUCGCUCCUUCGCCUAUAUCAACCGACGUUUGCAAAACAGGGACCACCAUAUCAUCAUCUGAGUCAGUGUCACUGG